GAAAUCAGAAGCUGAAGAGAUGUGGAGAAGGUGAUACAGGAUCAAAGAGAACCUCAGGAGGGAUAUGGGCUUGAUAAGUGUGUGUGUGUGUGUGUGUGUGUGUGUGUGUGUGUGUGUGUGUGUGUGUGUGUGUGUGUGUGUGUGUGUGUGUGUGUGUGUGUGUGUGU